AAGAGCCAGAACUGGUCGAGCCAAGUUGCCAAGAAAAUCCGCUAAGCGAUGAAGUGUACCUGCCCGUACCGCAAACCGACACUGGUAGGCGAGUUGAAGAUACUAAGGGGAACGAGAGAACCCUCGUUAAGGAACUAGGCAAAAUACCCCCGUAACUUCGGGAUAAGGGGGACCCCUGCGGGUGAAUAGCCUGUGGGGGUCGCAGAGAAAUGGCUCUUCCAACUGUUUAUCAAAAACACAGGUCUCUGCAAAGUCGAAAGACGAUGUAUAGGGGCUGACGCCUGCCCAGUGCUGGAAGGUUAAAGGGAGGUGUGCAAGCACUGAACUGAAGCCCCAGUGAACGGCGGCCGUAACUAUAACGGUCCUAAGGUAGCGAAAUUCCUUGUCGGGUAAGUUCCGACCCGCACGAAUGGCGUAAUGAGAGGAGCACUGUCUCAACGAGGGACUCGGCGAAAUUGAAGUAUGCGUAAAGAUGCGCAUUACCCGCAGCAGGACAAAAAGACCCCGUGGAGCUUUACUGUAGCUUGACAUUGGGUUGAGGGUGCACUUGUGUAGGAUAGCUGGGAGGCUGUGAAGCUGGGACGCUAGUCUCGGUGGAGCCAAUGUUGAAAUACCAGCCUGGUGUACUUUUGGCUCUAACCUGUGGCCCUUAUCGGGCAUGGGGACAUUGUCUGGUGGGCAGUUUGACUGGGGCGGUCGCCUCCGAAAGAGUAACAGAGGCGCCCAAAGGUUGGCUCAGGCUGAAUGGAAACCAGCCGCAGAGUGUAGAGGCAGAAGCCAGCUUGGCUGCGAGACUUACAAGUCGAGCAGGGACGAAAGUCGGGCUUAGUGAUCCUACGGUUCCGAGUGGAAGGGCCGUGGCUUACCGGAUAAAAGCUACCCCGGGGAUAACAGGCUAGUCUUGUCCAAGAGCUCACAUCGACGACAAGGCUCGGCACCUCGAUGUCGGCUCAUCGCAUCCUGGGGCUGGACAAGGUCCCAAGGGUUCGGCUGUUCGCCGAUUAAAGCGGUACGUGAGCUGGGUUCAGACCGUCGUGAGACAGGUCGGUCUCUAUCCGCUGUGGGCGCAAGGGAUUUGAGAAGGGUUGCCCCUAGUACGAGAGGACCGGGGUGAACGAACCGAUGGUGUGCCAGUUGUGGUGCCAACCGCAUUGCUGGGUAGCUACGUUCGGAAUGGAUAACCGCUGAAAGCAUCUAAGCGGGAAGCCAGCUUCAAGAUGAGAUCCCUUACUAGGUCAACUAGGUAAGACCGCUAGAAGACUACUAGCUUGAUAGGCGGCGGGUGUAAGCACAGUAAUGUGUGUAGCUAA
rnacentral:rRNA from 1 species